rnacentral:rRNA from 1 species
CUUUGAACGCAGCCUUGCGCCCCUUGGCUCAUUCCGAGGGGAACACCCGUCAUUGAGUGUCGUGAAUACUCUCAACCUUCUUGUGUUUCUUUGAACCANGAAGGCUUGGACUUUGNAGGUUUUUUGUUGCUGGCCUCUUUUGAAGCCAGCUCCUCCUAAAUGAAUGGGUGNGGUCCGCUUUGCUGAUCCUCGACGUGAUAAGCAUUUGUUUCUACGUCUUGGGCUUUGCGGUGUCAGCUCGGAACCCCCGCUUUUCAACCGUCUUUGGACAAAGACAAGGUUCGAGUUGCAACUCGACCUUACAAACCUUGACCUCAAAUCGGGUGAGACUACCCGCUGA